UAUAACGAUCUCUCAUGCCAAUUAGUGUCUCUAGUCAUUAUUUUAUAACAGCUUUUUAUUUUUUGAUGUUAUGAUUAACUAAGUUCUUUUUAUAUUUUUUGUAAUGGAAGACGCAUUUCAAAAACUGCAGAAUGAUGGAAAAAAUAGUGUUAAUGGUCUUAUUGAUUGGAUGAAAGGAGCGAAAAUUAUAGACGGAGCGAAAAUCACCGAGGAAAAGGCUCGGGAAUACUUCGAAAGCGUUCCCAAUCCCCAAAAUGUUGAGAUGUCUCAGUUCAAAGAAGUCCUGAAUGAGCUGGCAUCGGAAACACAGAAGAGCGUGUCUGACUUCAUCACAACCCUGACAGAUCAAAGGCCGAAGCUAAUGAACGCAGCAAUGGCGGCUGCAACAGCCUUCAAAGACGCGCUCGAUAAAAAAUAAAGAUUUGAUACAUUAUCAGCUUCUAUUGCAAUAAAUUGUCACAGGGAUAAAAAAAAAAUUGUU